rnacentral:snRNA from 1 species
GUAAGGGCAACCUGGCAGUGCCAAAUGUCACCCUGUUGAUCAUCGGGGUUGAUUCGGCUGAUCUGGCUGGCUGGGUGCGUGUGCCCUUCCUCCCUCACAGGGUAUACAGGUAGCUGCACUCCCCUGCUAGAACCUCCAAACAAGCGCUCUGGGGACUCACAUGCAUGUGAGCGAAGCUUCAGGCCUCUAGGCACAUGCCUUAUUUUCCCACUUGACUGCUUACAAAA